rnacentral:rRNA from 1 species
AUUGAACGCUGGCGGCAUGCCUUACACAUGCAAGUCGAACGGCAGCACGGGAGCAAUCCUGGUGGCGAGUGGCGAACGGGUGAGUAAUAUAUCGGAACGUGCCCAGUCGUGGGGAUAACGUAGCGAAAGCUACGCUAAUACCGCAUACGAUCUAUGGAUGAAAGCGGGGGAUCGCAAGACCUCGCGCGAUUGGAGCGGCCGAUAUCAGAUUAGGUAGUUGGUGAGGUAAAGGCUCACCAAGCCGACGAUCUGUAGCUGGUCUGAGAGGACGACCAGCCACACUGGGACUGAGACACGGCCCAGACUCCUACGGGAGGCAGCAGUGGGGAAUUUUGGACAAUGGGCGCAAGCCUGAUCCAGCAAUGCCGCGUGCAGGAUGAAGGCCUCGGUGUAACGUAGUACGUUUUGUUACGGUAACGGUAAACGGUACGGAA